UACGGAGGGUGCAAGCGUUAAUCGGAAUUACUGGGCGUAAAGCGUGCGCAGGCGGUUUGUUAAGUCCGCUUUGAAAUCCCCGAGCUCAACUUGGGAAUUGCAGUGGAUACUGGCAAGCUGGAGUAUGGUAGAGGAAGGUGGAAUUCCCGGUGUAGCAGUGAAAUGCGUAGAGAUCGGGAGGAACACCAGUGGCGAAGGCGGCCUUCUGGACCAAUACUGACGCUCAUGCACGAAAGCGUGGGGAGCAAACAGG
rnacentral:rRNA from 1 species